rnacentral:tRNA from 1 species
AACCAGGGAUGGGAAUCGAACCCACAGUGUUACGCUUACCAGGCAGAUGCCAUAUCUACUAGGCUACCCUGGA